rnacentral:rRNA from 1 species
AGUCAUAUGCUUGUCUCAAAGAUUAAGCCAUGCAUGUCUAAGUAUAAGCGAUUAUACGGCGAAACUGCGAAUGGCUCAUUACACAAGUUAUCGUUUAUUUGAUGGUGCCUUACUACUUGGAUAACCGUGGUAAUUCUAGAGCUAAUACAUGCUGAAAAUCCCGACUCCGGAAGGGAUGUAUUUAUUAGAUUCAAAACCAAUGCCCUCUGGGCUCACUGGUGAUUCAUGAUAACUGCACGAAUCGCAGGGCCUUGCGCCGGCGAUGUCUCAUUCAAAUUUCUUCCCUAUCAACUUUCGAUGUUUGGGUAGUGGCCAAACAUGGUUACAACGGGUAACGGAGGGUUAGGGCUCGACCCCGGAGAAGGAGCCUGAGAAACGGCUACUACAUCCAAGGAAGGCAGCAGGCGCGCAAAUUACCCAAUCCCGACACGGGGAGGUAGUGACAAUAAAUACUGAUACAGGGCUCUUUUGGGUCUUGUAAUUGGAAUGAGUACAAUUUAAAUCCCUUAACGAGGAACAAUUGGAGGGCAAGUCUGGUGAACGUCGCUGGUGCCAGAGACAGCCACCCUCGGUAAACAAGCGGCUAGUCGAGCGCUCGACAAGUGACGGGUGAGCGCCGGCGAGACAACCUGGAUCGGGGAACGCUAAGGGCCCUCCGGGGCCUACGCUGAUCCCGAGCAGAGCCACGGCAGGUGGCCUGUGUAGAGCGCGCCAAGGUGUCGGUCCCGCGGGCGACGCGCCCCGGGGCUUAAGGUACGUGCCGAACCCCCGCGAAAGCGGGGCCCCGCGGAUGAGCACCCGUCGUGCGAAGCCGCGGGGAGGUCCCCCCCGGGAGUCGGGGGGACCGCCAGAGGGCCAGCAGCCGCGGUAAUUCCAGCUCCAAUAGCGUAUAUUAAAGUUGUUGUGGUUAAAAAGCUCGUAGUUGAACCUUGGGCCUGGCUGGCCGGUCCGCCUCACCGCGUGCACUGGUCCGGCCGGGUCUUUCCCUCUGUGGAACCCCAUGCCCUUCACUGGGCGUGGCGGGGAAACAGGACUUUUACUUUGAAAAAAUUAGAGUGCUCCAGGCAGGCCUAUGCUCGAAUACAUUAGCAUGGAAUAAUGAAAUAGGACGCGCGGUUCUAUUUUGUUGGUUUCUAGGACCGCCGUAAUGAUUAAUAGGGACAGUCGGGGGCAUCAGUAUUCAAUAGUCAGAGGUGAAAUUCUUGGAUCUAUUGAAGACUAACUACUGCGAAAGCAUUUGUCAAGGAUGUUUUCAUUAAUCAGGAACGAAAGUUAGGGGAUCGAAGACGAUCAGAUACCGUCGUAGUCUUAACCAUAAACUAUGCCGACUAGGGAUCGGACGAUGUUAUUUUUUGACUCGUUCGGCACCUUACGAGAAAUCAAAGUGCUUGGGCUCCAGGGGGAGUAUGGUCGCAAGGCUGAAACUUAAAGAAAUUGACGGAAGGGCACCACCAGGGGUAAACACGCAGUCGCUCUGCCCCCAAAAGCAGCCGGGAAACCGGCCGGUCGGGUCCUUGGCCGCGAGGCCGAAGCACGCUAGUCGCCCCCCCGGGGCGGCGACACCCUCCAAUUGCGGGGACUCCCUAAAGCCGACCGGGACCAAGCGGGCGCCGAGAGGGCGUCCCGUGGCCGGGUUAACGACCCCGGGUACGGUAACACGCCGGUCGGAUGGAAGACAAUGGGUGAUCCGCAGCCAAGCGCCUACCCGGCGGGUGAGCCCACGGGCCACACCCGCCGCAGGGCGAAGGUCCAGAGACUUGACGGGGGUGGGUCGGGCGCGCGCGCCCGGCCUAAGAUGAAGUCCGUCUGCGCGCGAGAGCGCGACAGAGCCCUGAAGAAAACGGGAGCCUGCGGCUUAAUUUGACUCAACACGGGGAAACUCACCAGGUUGAAGGAGGACGGAACCGUCUGGGCCUGGAACAGUGGCGGGCGCCCACCUAGGCGCCCUCGCCCGCUAGUGUCGAGCCUCAUCCGCGCGGGGAAGCCCCCGUUGUCGGGCGCGGAGCGGCGCACCCCUCGCCCGGGUGCGCCGUGGCUCGAUGCGACACCAGCUGGAACAGGGGACGCCCACCCGCGGGAGACCGCGGAGGCCGACCCUGUGGCGAGCCCAGGUUGCUCUGGGCCGUCGCAACGCGCGCAAAGCGGUGGGCCGAUUCGCCCGAGGGGGCGGUCGGCUUAAGGUACGUGCUGAUCCCACGGGACGACCGUGGCUCCCCUGAAUAGGCCCGACACGCCGAAGCAGCGGGAGGCGGGCGGCACCCCCUCGCGGGGGGCCGCCCGGGGAAGGGCACCUCCGGGAACCGUCCCGGGGCGCCCAGUGCCAGACACAAUGAGGAUUGACAGAUUGAGAGCUCUUUCUUGAUUUUGUGGGUGGUGGUGCAUGGCCGUUCUUAGUUGGUGGAGUGAUUUGUCUGCUUAAUUGCGAUAACGAACGAGACCUUAACCUGCUAAAUAGCCCGUAUUGCUUUGGCAGUACGCCGGCUUCUUAGAGGGACUAUCGGCUCAAGCCGAUGGAAGUUUGAGGCAAUAACAGGUUGACCCUCACAGGCCUGUCACAGUGGCGCCUCGUUAAACAUGACCGCUAGUCCAGCGACUUCACCUCCGCGGGGAAGCCCCCAAUGUCGGGCGGAGGAGGGAACCCCCCCGGGGGUCCCGUGUCGCGGGCGACACCACCUGGUACAGGGAACGCCGUCGACCCAGCCUCGCGCUGGGCGGCGGCCGAUCCUGUGGCGAGCCCGGGCAGCGCCGGGCCGUCGCAACGCGCGGAAAGGGGUGGGCCGGCCCGCUGGGAGCGGGCGGCUUAAGGUACGUGCUAAUCCCGUGGGAGACCACGCCCUCACGGCUAGGCCCGACAAGCCGAAACGUGGGGGGGCCGCGGGCGCGUCUGCGCCCCGCGGCCGGCGGCGCCCUCGGGCGGCCAACACGCUGUGAUGCCCUUAGAUGUUCUGGGCCGCACGCGCGCUACACUGACGGAGCCAGCGAGUACUCCCUUGGCCGGAAGGCCCGGGUAAUCUUGUUAAACUUCGUCGUGCUGGGGAUAGAGCAUUGCAAUUAUUGCUCUUCAACGAGGAAUCCCUAGUAAGCGCAAGUCAUCAGCUUGCGUUGACUACGUCCCUGCCCUUUGUACACACCGCCCGUCGCUACUACCGAUUGAAUGGCUCAGUGAGGCGUCCGGACUGGCCCAGGGAGGUGGGCAACCACCACCCAGGGCCGGAAAGCUCUCCAAACUCGGUCAUUUAGAGGAAGUAAAAGUCGUAACAAGGUCUCCGUU